rnacentral:piRNA from 1 species
UNGACAGGGUAUUGCAAACCUUUGGCCUAGC